rnacentral:rRNA from 1 species
UACGAAGGGGGCUAGCGUUGUUCGGAAUUACUGGGCGUAAAGCGCGUGUAGGCGGAUCGUUAAGUCGGGGGUGAAAGCCCGGGGCUCAACCUCGGAAUUGCCUUCGAUACUGGCGAUCUGGAGCAGAGGGGAGGCGAGUGGAAUACCGAGUGGAGAGGUGAAAUUCGCAGAUAUUCGGUGGAACACCAGUGGCGAAGGCGACUCGCUGGACUCUUGCUGACGCUGAGACGCGAAAGCGUGGGGAGCAAACAGG